GACGAACGCUGGCGGCGUGCUUAACACAUGCAAGUCGAACGAUGAAGCCCAGCUUGCUGGGUGGAAGAGUGGCGAACGGGUGAGUAACACGUGAGUAACCUGCCGCUGACUCUGGGAUAAGCGCUAGAAAUGGCGUCUAAUAAUGGCUAUGACAUAUCACCGACGGGAGUGUAGGCGGAAAGAUGUCUGGGCAGGUGAUGGACGCGCGGCCUAACAGCGUGGUGGUGAGGUAAUGGCUCACCAAGGCGACGAGGGGUAGCCGGCCGGAGAUGGUGACGGGCCACACUGGACUGACACAGGGCCCAUACUCCUACGGGAGGCAGCAGUGGGGAAUAUUGCACAAUGGGUGCAAGCCGGAUGCAGCAACGCCGCGUGAGGGAUGACGGCCUUCGGGUUGUAAACCUCUUUUAGUAGGGAAGAAGCGCAAGUGACGGUACCUGCAGAAAAAGCACCGGCUAACUACGUGCCAGCAGCCGCCGUAA
rnacentral:rRNA from 1 species